AUCAAGGGAAGUUCUACUUUUGUCAGAACUCACCUGGAGUACCAAAUCCAGUUUGGGGCACCACAAUUCAAGAACUAUAUUAACAAGCUGGAAUGUGUCCAGAGAAAGGCAACCAAAAUGAUCAAAGCUAAGCCCAAUGGGGAGUGGCUUAUGGACCUGGUUAUGAUUAGCCGAAACAAGAGAAGGUUAAGAGUUCUCACAUGGAAGCUGGAGUUGGCAGUCUUCACAAUGCACAAUUACUUUCAGUAAGAACCUAUAAGUUUUCCCUCAACCUGAAUUUGCUCUGAAGUCAGGUCAGAUUUUUGCAUCAGCUCAGCAUACUUUCCCAAGUUCUGUUGGAAUGAACCUCAAACCUGCCAUGUGGAUUUCAUCCUUGGCCAAACCAAGUGAUGAUGUUGUGAUAAAGGGAUGGUGGUGAAGUAAUCAAUAUAAUCCAAAGAAGUUUUUAUUUUUUAUGGAAGUUUUCUUUCUUGUGGCUUGUGUUAAGGAAUACAUUCUGACAGUCCAGAGAUAUUCAUUUGUUUUGCCUCCAAGUUUUGCUGAAACAAAGUACUCCGAUGAAAGAUUUGACUACCUGAAACCAUUUAUUAUGGUAGCAUUUCUACCAUUAACCUUAGAUCAUCCUAUAAAGACAGCUGGAAAAGAAACAAAUAAACACAUCUCAUUCAUCA